CUCAGUUCGGACUGGAGUCUGCAACCCGACUCCACGAAGCUGGAUUCGCUAGUAAUCGCGCAUCAGCCACGGCGCGGUGAAUACGUUCCCGGGCCUUGUACACACCGCCCGUCAAGCCAUGGGAGCCGGGGGUACCUGAAGUGCGUAACCGCGAGGAGCGCCCUAGGGUAAAACUGGUGACUGGGGCUAAGUCGUAACAAGGUAGC
rnacentral:rRNA from 1 species